ensembl:lncRNA
UGAAUGGCGUGGUUUGGAGGCACCAAUGGUGCUUGUGAGGAGGAUUCAUGGAAUCGUGGGUGAUCUAAAUCUGUGUCUCACUCUCCUCUGUGUAUUGGCUUUGUCCCCGAGUGACUUAGCUUACCGUUCAGCAACGGCUGUAGAAGUUCAGGCCACACAGCCUCCCACCACAUCCUCCAGCUAAAGGAUCGAAACAACUAAUAUCAGCUACCGUGCGCAUUUGUAAGGCAUUGCCUACAUGUUUGCAUCCAUUUGCCAUGACUUUCGGCUCCAUUGGAGGGAGAGCAGGGAGAAAAUGAUCCAAACUCCUUGUCAGAUACUGCCAUCUGCUGUAAUUAAGACUUUCUGUGAUCCUGCUGUUAAAUGAGGACUUUAAUGGUUACACACCUUCUAGAUGGUCGUGAGGAUAGUUUAAGGUAGGUAAAUCUCCUGGAUAGAAUGCCAGUUGCCUGUAAAUAUUACUUUGGAUAAGGAGAUCAGAACAGGGAUUAAAACUAUAGUUAAAAAUGAGAGCCAGAGUAAAU